rnacentral:rRNA from 1 species
AGUGAACGCUGGCGGUAGGCCUAACACAUGCAAGUCGAACGGCAGCACAGUAAGAGCUUGCUCUUACGGGUGGCGAGUGGCGGACGGGUGAGGAAUACAUCGGCAUCUACUUUUUCGUGGGGGAUAACGUAGGGAGACUUACGCUAAUACCGCAUACGACCUACGGGUGAAAGCAGGGGAUCUUCGGACCUUGCGCGAUUGAAUGAGCCGAUGUCGGAUUAGCUAGUUGGCGGGGUAAAGGCCCACCAAGGCGACGAUCCGUAGCUGGUCUGAGAGGAUGAUCAGCCACACUGGAACUGAGACACGGUCCAGACUCCUACGGGAGGCAGCAGUGGGGAAUAUUGGACAAUGGGCGCAAGCCUGAUCCAGCCAUACCGCGUGGGUGAAGAAGGCCUUCGGGUUGUAAAGCCCUUUUGUUGGGAAAGAAAAGCAGCAGGUUAAUACCCCGCUGUUCUGACGGUACCCAAAGAAUAAGCACCGGCUAACUUCGUG